GAUAUCUCUGUGUUCUCUUCUGUCUGUGUCGUCAACAUUUGAACAUUUUUGAGCGGUCCGCUCUUUCUGACUGUAAACAAAGCCGUUCUCCACCUCCUCUAACCUGAUUGGUUGUGAGGCAGACGCUGCUCCCCCGUGUCGUUCAGGAGCCCAAACAAAGUUAGCGUGCUACAAUAUCGGACAGUAGAAACCAACCAGAAAGUUCGGAAAAUUGUCCGAAUCCUCCUUUGGCCACGACUGCCGACACAAGCAAGAAAACAAAGUAAAUACCGGAGACUCUGGAGGAAUAACGGGCGCUUAAAA